GGGGGAUUGGCGCAAUGGUAGCGCGUGGUAUGUCAUACCCGCUUGUCUUCUCUAGAACUCAUUUCUAAUUUAUCUUGUUAGGCUCUCCUACUUGAUCGAUAGAUCUUGUCGUGAAGCCAAGGUUGAGGGUUCGAGUCCCUUGUUCCUCG